ensembl:lncRNA
AGCCAGCCUUCCUGCCUACUUAUUCCGUUCUUCCAGUUUAGUUAGUGUUUUUCUGUUCUGCUUCUUACCAGCAAUAAAGCUGUGUGUUUUGAAUUACUUCCGCCUCAGUGAGUCCUGCAUUUUGGGUCCUCCCUUCCUGCCUGCCCACACUCAGACAUGACAAAUGAAGAGAGAGGGAGGACAAAAACAUUUGAAGGCUGUAAAACAAAUAAAUUCAGAACAAGUGAUGAAGAGUAAACCACUGAUGAGGAAGUGAGCAGGAAGUUGAAGCUGUGUUCAUGUCUGAGACUGUCUCAUUUGUCAAUGUGAGAGCAGAGAGUAGAGACUGACAGACAGAGAAGUACGAUGGCUGCAGUCAUGUGGAUUCAAAUGUCUUCUUUCCUGCUGCUGAUGCUUCAGAUUACAGCAGAAACAACAGGACAGACUUUGUCCUCCUUCAGAGCUGCCAGAGCUGGACAUGACAUCACUUUGUCUUGUGAAAAUGUGAUAGAUGGUCAACAUGACUGCAGCUAUACUACCUGGGAAUUCACUGAUUCAAGACAGACACCAGCAGUAGAGCUGGUUGUUCAUGGACAGAUUAAAGAAAAUGCUAAAGCUGAAUACACCAGACUGAGUGUUACAGCGAACUGUUCUCUGCUUAUAAAGAAGGUACAAGCUGAGGAUGUUGGUCGUUACACCUGCACACAGUACAAAACAAGAGGAGGACAAAAAGAAUGUUCAGACUAUAUGAUUAAUCUGUCUGUUAUUAACAUGACUGAACAUGAGAACAACAAUAAAGUCAUUGUGAACUGCUCUGUGCUGACACAUGAACACUAUAGACACACAGUGGAGUGGCUGCAUGAGGGUAAAAAGAAAAUAUCAGACGUGGAGAUCAAACCAGGUUUCUGCUCUGUGACUGUGACAUUUAAAAGAUCUCACCGUGAUCAGAAGUCACAGUUUUAUAAUUCAUUGAAGUGCAAAGUGACAGAUAAACACACUAAAGAAGAACAACUGUUUCUCUUCAAACUCAAGUCCUCAGGUGAGAAAACAGGUGAAAACACAAAAUCAACGACUGCAAAAUUUACCUCAACAACAAGAACAACAACAGCAAUGAGAUCAACAACAACAAUGAGAUCAACAACAACAAUGAGAUCAACAACAACAAUGAGAUCAACAACAACAAUGAGAUCAACAACAACAAUGAGAACAACAACAACAACAACAACAAUGAGAUCAACAACAACAAUGAGAACAACAACAACAACAAUGAGAACAACAAAAUCUUCUCUAGAAUCAAAAAAAUCCUCACAAGGUUUGUUAUUAUGGCUCAUUAUCCUUCCCGUUGGUUUAUCAGCACUCUUAAUAAUUGUUGUGGUCAUAAGAUGGAAGAAACAUAAAGGUAAAAGCAUCCUCAGAUUAUAGUUUAACAUAAUAUAACUAAUGUUAAGAAUGUGAAAAUGGUGAAUUGAAGAGAUUUCUUAUUUUGUAGAUUGGGAUCGUUAGCAAACAGGCAAAAAAUGGAUUUUUAAUGUGGAACUAAUCGCAGUGGGGUUUUUUUUUUUUUUUUUCUUUUUCAGGAAAAGAAGGGCAGCUGGCCGGCAACACUGUGAGUUCAAAUAGUUCCAUUGUUUCAUAUGAGAUUGAGCUAAUAAACCUUUAGAGGUGACUUCAUGCCUCUAAAUGACUAAAUAAAAUACAGGAUUUACCAUCAGAAACAGAACAGCUGACAAAGCUGCAAGUGAGCUGAAUCAGCUCCUCACUGACAAUGUUUAACUAUUUAAGUAACAUUUAGAUCUUUACACAGUUACUCUUCUGUUUGUGAGCAGGGACUGAGCUUAAACGCUGCAGAGACUCAGUCUGGACCAGGAACCAAUCAAACCAGGGCUGGAGCUGAUGAUGGUGUUUCCUACGUCUCCAUCAGCUUGCCCAAGAGGACCAGGAGUAAAACCCGGGUGAGAUUUUUAAUAUUUGUGGGGAUGAUGUUAGCAGUAAGACCAUGAUUUUCAAAGAGCCUUAUGUCUUGUCUUGCUCUGUAAUGUUUUUUUUUUUUUUGUUCUGUAAUGUUUUCCUAUAGUCCCGUGGUCAUGAUGAAGGUGACACUGUGACCUACAGCACAGUGAAAGCUGUUUCCUCUUCUGCUGGAGAUGAUCCCAACCACCUCUAUUCCACCAUCAAUGAUGUAAAGAAGUAGGAUGAUGCUCAUGAAAAGAGAUAUGGUAGAUGCUGUUUCACUUUUUAGAUGAGAGAGUGAAUGUGAAAAGUCAUGGGUUAUUUUUUUUUGUCUUACGUAUUGGUUGUUUUGAACUAAUAACAUAAUAUUGUUUUGGUAAAUGGACUUAUAUAACACUUUUAUAUAGCUACUCUUUCAGAGCACUCAAAGUGCUUUAUACAACAAAUUCAUUCACCCAAGCAGUUAAGUGCUCCCUAUCUAACAUUAAUACUCAUUCACACUCCGAUGGAAGCAUCGGAGAGCAACAUGGGGUUAGUAUCUUGCCCAAGAAUAUUUGGCAUGCAGACUGGAGCAGACUGGGAUCAAACCACCACCCUUCUGGUUAGUAGCUGACCUGCUCUAACACCUGAGCUACAGACACCAAACUGAAAAUCAUUUAUGUUUCAAAAACAGACAUGUUACCACACAUAUAUAUUUCUGUUUUGACCUAAACUGUUUCUGCCAGAGGGGUAUGUGUUGACGUUUUAUUCCAAGAAACCUUUUCUGUUUGCUGCUGCUCAUAAAAGUUUAGCUGAUAGCGUCCUAUCACAGUACAUGACAUCAUUACUGUCUAAGGCGCAGCUUCAAAUGCAUCCUGAACAGUGCGGACAAAAAUUAGAAAUAAGAAAAAGUACUAAUAAAUUUUUUUUUGCCACUGUAAAUAAAUGCUUUAAAUAAAGGAUCCAGAUACUUUCUUCAUUUUAAGAAGAAACCACUUUAGAGCCUGUGUCAUUUUGUUAUAAUUGCACAUAUUGAAGUGUUCACUGAAAAAAGAUAAUGUUGGAUUUAUUUAAUUUAAUAGUGGACAUUGGAUAAACACAGAUGCUUUGCUUUGGCAGCAACUUAAACAAUCAACUUAAAAUGAGG